rnacentral:lncRNA from 1 species
GCUGGUGAGCCUCGCGAAUCGACACCGGCUUCGUCUGAACCGUGCCAUGCUGGUGGGCCUCGUACAUCGUCCGGCACUACCUUCACUGACAACACUACCUGCGGAGGAAUGAAGUCGCCGUCGUGGAAAUUUCGUCGCACCAUCAAACGCCUGCAGUCAAGGGUCGCCUCCUGCCGUAAGACCAUUGAAAGGUUGCGGAAACAGCAGAGGGAGCUACCUCCAUCAAUUACCA